rnacentral:rRNA from 1 species
CCUACGGGAGUCAGCAGUAGGGAAUCUUCCACAAUGGGCGAAAGCCUGAUGGAGCAACGCCGCGUGGGUGAAGAAGGUCUUCGGAUCGUAAAACCCUGUUGUUAGAGAAGAAAGUGCGUGAGAGUAACUGUUCACGUUUCGACGGUAUCUAACCAGAAAGCCACGGCUAACUACGUGCCAGCAGCCGCGGUAAUACGUAGGUGGCAAGCGUUAUCCGGUUUUAUUUGGCGUAAAGGGAACGCAGGCGGGCUUUUAAGUCUGAUGUGAAAGCCUUCGGCUUAACCGGAGUAGUGCAUUGGAAACUGGGAGACUUGAGUGCAGAAGAGGAGGGUGGAACGCCAUGUGUAGCGGUGAAAUGCGUAGAUAUAUGGAAGAACACCAGUGGCGAAAGCGGCUCUCUGGUCUGUAACUGACGCUGAGGUUCGAAAGCGUGGGUAGCAAACAGGAUUAGAUACCCUGGUAGUC